GUCAGGGAUUGGUAGCAUUUUAAGUGAAAAUUCUUUGUCAAGGGAUAGGUUUGGAGAUCCUUCAUUGUGGAUGCGGCUGCUGAAUGUUGCUGAUCUAAGCCUUGACGUAUUCUCAGGCUUGGAUUUUCAUGGAGCCUCCAUCUCUUUUUGGUCAUUUUUGAAGGUGGCCUAUAUGCUUGCCUUUUUUACUGGGCAUACAGGGCCUUCAAGGAAAGAACACUCUAGAUUUGUACAUUGUCACGCUUCAACCCAAUUUGUUGUCAGGGGUAUCAUAGGAUGGCUACUUUUAGAGGCAUCCUAGCUGCCCCUUGUUUCGUGUAAAUAUUUUACCUCUUAUUUAUCUCAUCUUUUUUUUUUUUUUAAAAAAUUGAUCUGACACUUCAAUUGCGAAAAUUGUAACAUUUCUUGAGAAAUUAUGUAGAUCUUUGUAGGGUUUUUGCGGCGCAAAGCUA